GCAGACUUUCAGAGUCAGCUGAAGACGGACGGACUGUUCAGAACAUCACGUUGUUGGGCUGGAGAAAGAGCCUCAUUUAAAAGCACAAGUUAUUCAGCACAUUUAUUGGUUACCUUAAGGGCUUCAACUAACCAA